GGUCUUUAUGGCCAUGAAUCCAAACACCGUGUGAACCACUAUUGUAUUUGGCAAGUGAUGUGUGAUGAUUGUGGGAGGUUAUUCGCGGUUUGAAUAGCAUUUCCCCUCUUUGCACAGAGUUUCAAACCCGCAAACCAUGUUUUGGUUUGUGUGGACCUUGAAAGCUUGCCCUCCUUUAUAAACAUUAUUUGUUUAUUUGACUGACAAAUACAUUUGAUAUGAAAUAUGAAACAACUUUUGGCAACGGAUCUCUUGGCUCUCGCAACGAUGAAGAACGCAGCGAAAUGCGAUACGUAUCAUGAAUUGCAGAACUCUGAAUGAUAAAUGUUUGAACGCACAUUGCGCCAGACUCUGUUUGGCAUGUCUGUCUGAGAAUCUUAAAAGUUUCUCUCCAAAACAAGGUUUUUGUUUUCAAGGAGGCGAUUGACGGCUCUAUGAUGAUACUGCAUAGGCUGUUGAAAUACAAAUCUUUGCCAUACGCGUUUGUUCAAGUGUGGGCAUGUCUUUUUGACAAACUCAAAAAUGACAUUUCUCCAUACAGAUCAUUGAACAACAACAACAACAGACUUGGUCUCAGAUCAG
rnacentral:rRNA from 1 species